UCACUUACCUGGACGGGGUCGACUCGUGAUCAAGAAGACGAGUGGCCUAGGCUAGUGACCUCCAUUGCACUGAGGAGGGGCGCUUAGCCUAAGGUCUCCCCAAGUGGGAGAGCCUGCGUCAUUAUUUGUGGCAGAGGGAGCCUGCGUCCGCGCGGCUCCUAC
rnacentral:snRNA from 2 species